rnacentral:rRNA from 1 species
UACGUAGGGUGCGAGCGUUUGUCCGGAAUUUAUUGGGGCGUAAAGGGCUCGUAGGCGGUUUGUCGCGUCGGGAGUGAAAUCCACUGGCUUAACUGGUGGCUUGCUUUCGAUACGGGCAGACUGGAGGUAUGCAGGGGAGAACGAAUUCCUGGUGUAGCGGUGAAAUGCGCAGAUAUCAGGAGGAACACCGGUGGCGAAGGCGGUUCUCUGGGCAUGUCCUGACGCUGAGGAGCGAAAGUGUGGGGAGCGAACAGG